AAGAUUUCAACAAAAUUACAGCUACAAUCUACUGAUUUCCAAAGCUAGCAAUACUAACCUUUUUAGAACCACGAACACAGAAUCGCGAACGAAAUUCCGAACUCCAUAUCCAAAACUCUCUUCCUUUCUUUCACGUUCAACCUUUUCGUUCUUUUAUUUUGUUUCUUCUUUGUUUUUUCGUUCCUUUUUUACCUCCUCUUUUUCUC
rnacentral:lncRNA from 1 species